ensembl:lncRNA
UGUUCCUAAACAAUACCGUUCGCGCAGACCGUUGUUGCUAUGGUUACCUCCUGACGAAUACAAUUUUUGUUUACCUCCGAGUUAUGCAGCUACGCCCCUUUUCAGCGCCACGUUUGUUGUCUUCCGUCUUCCAGGUUGUAUUUCCACAACAUGAAGAGGUGAAGGUGAGCAAUGGUGAAGCAAUGGGUGAGGAUACGGUGCUGGUGUCUUGGAAGGUGAGAUGAACCGAGAGGUGGUGGCUUGAGAUGAUGGAGGAAGGUGACACACACACACACACGAUGGGAACAGGAGGACAAUGGAGAUCGCUGGAGAGAGGUAAGUCAGGUAUAUGGUUAGUCCUUAGAGUUAGCAGGUAGGUAUUGACCUAGUUGCGAACAAGACCGGACAGUGACUGCGUGUGUGUGUGUGUGACUUUUGAGUGCUGGGGAGAUUGCAGGUAGAUGAGGAGCAGGUGAGUGUGAUCAGAUGAUUGGGAGGUGUACAGGUGCAGGAGAUGAGUGCGCUGAGGGUGAUGAACCUGACGUGUCUGUGACAGUACUCCCCCCUCCCGGAAGGCUCGUCCCGAGCCGUAACACUGGGGAGGGCGGGGUGGGCGCCCUGGAGGUUGGUGCCGGACGGGAACACGGUGGAGCAGAGGAGGACCUCCAGGGCGGAUCUGGCGACUCGGGAGGCCAUGGCGGACCUGGAGCCUCCGGAGGCCAUGGCGGAAAUGGAGCCUUGGGAGGCCCUGGCGGACCUGGAGCCUUGGGAGGCCCUGGCGGAAUGCAGCACAUAAAUCUGUUUAUAGUUGUUUAUAGUUGUUGGAAGCCAAAAUUGCAACUGAAAAUAAAAAUUGACACCCAGCCCUACAAUGUAUUACAAGUGACAUUAUUACCAGUGAAAAUUGAAAUAAAAUAUUGAU